GGAGAGGUGGCAGAGUGGUCGAAUGCACCGGUUUCGAAAACCGGCAGGGAUGAAAGUUCCUCGGGAGUUCGAAUCUCCCCCUCUCCG
rnacentral:tRNA from 1 species